GACGAACGCUGGCGGCGUGCUUAACACAUGCAAGUCGAGCGGAAAGGCCCCUUGUGGGUACUCGAGCGGCGAACGGGUGAGUAACACGUGAGUAAUCUGCCCUUCACUUCAGGAUAGCUCCCGGAAACGGGGAUUAAUACUGGAUAUGACACAUUCGCGCAUGUGGGUGUGUGGAAAGUUUUUUCGGUGGGGGAUGUGCUCGCGGCCUAUCAGCUUGAUGGUGGGGUAAUGGCCUACCAUGGCUUCGACGGGUAGCCGGCCUGAGAGGGUGAUCGGUCACACUGGGACUGAGACACGGCCCAGACGCCUACGGGAGGCAGCAGUGGGGAAUAUUGGAGAAUGGGCGGAAGCCUGAUCCAGCAACGCCGCGUGAGGGAUGACGGCCUUCGGGUUGUAAACCUCUUUCAGCACAGACGAAGCGCAAGUGACGGUAUGUGCAGAAGAAGGACCGGCCAACUACGUGCCAGCCGCCGCGGUAAGAC
rnacentral:rRNA from 1 species